GAUGAACGCUGGCGGCGUGCCUAAUACAUGCAAGUCGAGCGAACGGACGAGAAGCUUGCUUCUCUGAUGUUAGCGGCGGACGGGUGAGUAACACGUGGAUAACCUACCUAUAAGACUGGGAUAACUUCGGAAAACCGGAGCUAAUACCGGAUGAUAUUUUGAACCGCAUGGUUCAAAAGUGAAAGACGGUCUUGCUGUCACUUAUAGAUGGAUCCGCGCUGCAUUAGCUAGUUGGUAAGGUAACGGCUUACCAAGGCAACGAUGCAUAGCCGACCUGAGAGGGGGAUCGGCCACACUGGAACUGAGACACGGUCCAGACUCCUACGGGAGGCAGCAGUAGGGAAUCUUCCGCAAUGGGCGAAAGCCUGACGGAGCAACGCCGCGUGAGUGAUGAAGGUCUUCGGAUCGUAAAACUCUGUUAUUAGGGAAGAACAUAUGUGUAAGUAACUGUGCACAUCUUGACGGUACCUAAUCAGAAAGCCACGGCUAACUACGUG
rnacentral:rRNA from 1 species